CCACACAAAAGCCGCUCACUCAUACCAUUAAGUAAGUGUUCUACAUAGUACAAGAGGGAAAGCCAUAAAAAAUAAACAAUGAAAAGUUAACUGACACUUUCAAGCCUAGUGCUUAGUGGCCUACAAGGCCAUUAGAAACUACCCACUAAGGAACAAGACAUAAACUGCAAAAACUGUAAAAAAACUGACACACUACAAUAUUAAAAUAGCAACUGCAUAAAUGAAAAGAAUUACGUGGCCAAGGCACGUGAAAAUGGUCUUCUUCAUUUUGCAUGUUCUCAAGCUCGACUUGCAGCAAAGCUCUCUGGUUCUUCACGUUAAGCAUCAUUCUUCAACAA
rnacentral:lncRNA from 1 species